rnacentral:tRNA from 2 species
GGCGCCAUGGUGCAACGGCUAGCACGGCAGUCUUUCAAGCUGCAGAUCCGGGUUCGAUUCCCGGUGGCGCUACCA